ACGUGAGAUCUGACCUGAGCCGAAGCCGGAGGCCCAACCGACUGAGCCCCCCAGGCGCCCCUGGACAGUGUUAAAUAUCAUCCCACAUGCCUCUCUCACAUACCUCAGACAUCUCACUUUUUCCCCAAAUGGCGAGAAUGCAAAGUUGUGUCCAAUUAAAACACAGCUCCCGGUCCAGUUCUCUAGUGACAUCCGCAUGCCUUUUGAUAACGUCUGAAUAUUGCUCCCGCCGCGGUAGCCGGUGUGCCGGACGGUGAACGGACACACCUGCACCCCUCCUGGGGCCUCUCGGCGCAGAAGAGCAACUAGAGAAACCUGCAGGGCCGCCGUUCUGCCUGCCUUCCCGGUCUGUCCACACGACGCUUUCAGCGAGCUGUCAUGUGAGGUGUCCGAGGGCACCAAUCUCUGGCCCAGCAUGAGACCACUUUGAGGAAGGGUUGGAAAGGAGUAAAGUACAUCUGUCGCGCGUGCGGAGUCAGAAGCGCACACCGGUUUCCAGGCAUAUGUUGGUUUUCUCCAGCAAGGAGAGAUGGGAGUUUCUGGAGAAAACCGUCUGGGGAACCUUACGCUCCCUCACCCUCCUCGUGUGCAGCGGCCGGUCCGUGGGCUCUGGGGGGGGUGUCCUAGGGAUGGGCGCGCACCCCUUCCCGAGUAUUUGGUGGCGAUGGCCGUCUGUAGCUGCCACAGUCCUGCUUCCCAUUCGGAUAUCGGAGGCAAGGGAAGUUUCCGUGUUCUCCCCUGGGCCUGCCUGCCGGACUUCGUCCACCCUUACUAGGUGGCCGGAGGGGCAUUCGGAGGCUGUCGGUUGCUUAAGUCAGAAUAGAAAUUCCCCUUGGGACGUGCCUGCCUUGGGAGGACCUGAUCACAGCCCCGCUGAUCUCUGGAGCACAUGACCCUCGCUGGGAACAGCAGCACGCGUCUCUCUGGGAAACUCGAGGUAGAAAACUUGACCCCAUGGAUCUCAAGGCCGCCUGACAGCUGUGUGACUGUGGACCAGGCUGUCAGAGUGGAUGAAGUGAUCCCCACUCAGACGUCAACGGAGGCCUUGCCCUUCUUGUGUCUUGAUUUAGUUGAUGUUCUGGAGUUGGGCCUGUUGUCAACGGAUCUGGACUUACUUUGUGAGGGAAAAAAGGGUCGUCUGUCGCUUUAAUUCCUGAGAACCCCGACAGUACUGCACAACAGCCAGGGAUCCCGAGGGCAUCGCGCUGUCUCAUAACGUGCGAUACCCACGGCUGCCCUGGUGCCCGGGAGGGGACUGCAGCCCGCGGUGGCCGCCCGGACCAAGCCCUUCGACUCUCCCGUCUCCUGCGAUGGGCCAGGAACCAUUCGCAGCGCCGAGCCGCCGGCGUGUCCGGGCCGAGAGGACAGCCCGUGACGGCUCGUUGUACAAGGCCGAUGUCUCCCUCGCCAGUCCGUUCCUCGAGGUGAAGUCAGAAGCACUGUCGACGCACGUUCCACACGUGGGAGGAGCGGUCUCAGACGGGUGUCGUUUUCCGGGGUCCUGAGCCCACUUACGUCACCACUUCCAGAGUCGUGGAGCGUGACUGUAGAGAGGCGCACCAUCUGUCGUGUGGGCUUUACGGCAGCCGGCACCGAUGGGAGCCACCGGUCUGCGUCAGUGUCGGCCUGUCCGAGUCCCCGGUCUCCUUCAGAUGGGCCCGGGACGACGGUGGUGGGGGAGGGGACGGGCGUGCGCAGUGUGCUGCCUUUUCUUACUGCCACGUGCUUCUCACACCGUGUGACCGUGUGACCUCUCUCUCCAGAGCGCACGGUGCAGCAGUUUUUAGUGUGUUCACAGAUUGUAGUCGAUUUAGUUCUAGAGAUUCUCAUCACCCCAAAAAGGAACCGGUUCCCAUUAGUAGUCGCUCCCUAUUCCUCCCCCCCAGCCCCUGACAACCACUCAUUUAUUUGCCAUCUCUGUGGAUUUACCAAUUUACCUCUUCUGGGUAUUUCAUAUAAAUGCAGUCACUUAUAUUUCACGAAAUACAGUUUGAGGUUCA